rnacentral:rRNA from 1 species
AUACGUAGGGGGCGAGCGUUGUCCGGAAUGAUUGGGCGUAAAGGGCGCGUAGGCGGCCCGGUAAGUCUGGAGUGAAAGUCCUGUUUUUAAGAUGGGAAUUGCUUUGGAUACUGUCGGGCUUGAGUGCAGGAGAGGUAAGUGGAAUUCCCAGUGUAGCGGUGAAAUGCGUAGAGAUUGGGAGGAACAACAGUGGCGAAGGCGACUUACUGGACUGUAACUGACGCUGAGGCGCGAAAGUGUGGGGAGCAAACAGGAUUAGAUACCCUGGUAGUCCACACUGUAAACGAUGAAUGCUAGGUGUAGGGGGUAUCGACCCCUUCUGUGCCGCAGUCAACACAAUAAGCAUUCCGCCUGGGGAGUACGGCCGCAAGGUUGAAACUCAAAUGAAUUGACGGGG